GGAGGUUACUGCUAUCGGUGUUCGCCUAACCCAUGCAAGUCAUAUGUUCUUCGUGAACAUGGCGUACUGCUCAGUAACACGUGAAUAACCUGCCCUUGGGACCGGCAUAACCCCGGGAAACUGGGGAUAAUUCCGGAUACCGCAUAUAUGCUGGAAUGCUUUAUGCGUGAAAUGGAUUCUUCUGCCCAAGGAUGGGUCUGCGGCCUAUCAGGUAGUAGUGGGUGUAAUGUACCUACUACCCUACAACGGGUACGGGUUGUGAAACCAAAACCCCGGAAAUGGAUUCUGAAACAUGAGUCCAGGCCCUACGGGGCGCACCAC
rnacentral:rRNA from 1 species